AAUCUGGGGCCCCCAGGCCUCCGAGUUGUAAUUUGAGAGAGGCAUCUUCGGGGAGGGGGCGCGGGCCCAUGUUCCUUGGAACAGGACGUCGCAGAGGGUGAGAAUCCCGUGCCAGGCCGGCUGCCUCCGCCCCAGUGAAGGGCCUUCGACGAGUCGAGUUGUUUGGGAAUGCAGCUCCAAGUGGGUGGUAAAUUUCAUCUAAAGCUAAAUACCGGCGGGAGACCGAUAGCGCACAAGUAGAGUGAUCGAAAGAUGAAAAGCACUUUGAAAAUAGAGUCAAAAAGUACGUGAAAUUGUUGAAAGGGAAGCGCUUGAGACCAGACUCGGACCCGGGCAAACAUCGCGCCCCCCGGGGCCGUGCAAUUGCCUGGGGCCGGGCCAGCAUCGGUUGGCGUGGCGGGACAAAGGCGCGGGGAAUGUGGCUCCCCUCGGGGAGUGUUAUUAGGCCCGCGCCCAAUGCCGCCUACGCCGACUGAGGACCGCGCCGCCCGGCUAGGAUGCUGGCUUAAUGGCCUUCAGCGACCCGUCUUGAAACACGGA
rnacentral:rRNA from 1 species